rnacentral:rRNA from 1 species
UACAGAGGGGGCAAGCGUUGUUCGGAAUUACUGGGCGUAAAGGGCGCGUAGGCGGCCUUCUAAGUCGAACGUGAAAUCCCCGGGCUCAACCCGGGAACUGCGUCCGAUACUGGAAGGCUUGAAUCCGGGAGAGGGAUGCGGAAUUCCAGGUGUAGCAGUGAAAUGCGUAGAUAUGUGGAGGAACACCGAUGGCGAAGGCAGCCCCCUGGGUCAAGACUGACGCUCAUGCACGAAAGCGUGGGGAGCAAACAGG